rnacentral:rRNA from 1 species
UACGUAGGGUCCGAGCGUUGUCCGGAAUUAUUGGGCGUAAAGGGCUCGUAGGCGGUUAGUCACGUCGGGAGUGAAAACUCAGGGCUCAACCCUGAGCGUGCUUCCGAUACGGGCUGACUAGAGGUAUGCAGGGGAGAACGGAAUUCCUGGUGUAGCGGUGGAAUGCGCAGAUAUCAGGAGGAACACCGGUGGCGAAGGCGGUUCUCUGGGCAUUACCUGACGCUAAAACGCGACAGCAUGGGGAGCAAACGGG